ACUGCAGUGUAAGCACUUAACGU
rnacentral:miRNA from 17 species